UGCCUCUUUAUUAAUGGGUAAUACAGCCGUAUGUUGCACAAUUCCAAAUAGUUAGUAGUAAAUAGUAAACAGUUACAAGUAGUAAAUAGUAAACAGUUACAAAUAGGUCGAGCUCCAAGUCUGGUUUCCAAGUUGAGCUCCACUGUCUCCAGAUAAAUAUCUAUGUGAGAAUAAUAAUUUUCUUUUCUCCCCCCAAAACAUGAGUGUAGAGUGUGAGCUUGGUGAUUAGACAUAUGUAUGAAAAGGAGUGUGUGUGUGUGGCAGGGUGGGGAGAAGAAAGACGAGCACAUUAUAUUUUAAACACUUUGAGGUGGUUCAGACCUGCAGAUCCGCACACCCCGGGACACCCUGCCCUCACCACCAAUGCGACUCCAUGCCCGGCUCUGCAGGGACCCCCACUGCUCGCACUCUUGAGAGUCUGCUCCGCCCCACAUUGCUCUGGAACACAGGACAAACGCCAGCUGGUCUGGUCCCAGUGGAAUGGGGGGACGGGCGGCAGGGGGCAAGAGGGCACCCAAGACCCAGCAGCUCACACCACACGGUCCUCCUGUUGCUUUUUUUUUCCCCUUCCUUUCCUCUCUAUAAACAAGUGAUUAAUGCCUUGCAAAAAGGCACAGACACACCUCCCUCGCAGCAAGCAAGCCCCUGCCAGGUUCCCCAGCCUUAAUUCUGCUGUUAACACUCCUCAGGCGGAGUGGUGAAGGGUAAAUCCACUCCUUCACGACGCAGACCUGCGGGCAAUGUGGUUUGUUUAAAGGCUCUGCUGAGCGAUUGACCUGCCUCCCGUUUGCUCCAAGGGAGGGAGUACACUCAAAUGAAAAAUGAAAAAAAAAUUUUUUCAAAAAGCGCAACUUGCCCUGAAGCAGCUUCCGGUGUGUAAACCGUCCUGGCACAGGACCCCCCAGAUGGACGUGGCUUUCGCAGAACCUUCCUUCCCUUCUCCCAGCAUCAGCGGACAAGGAGGGGAUGAGAUGGAUGAACGUUGUCAGCUUCACAGACUCCUUUUUCAUUUGUUUGCAAGAGGCAUCCUGACUGAUUUAAGAAAUGAAUCCCUGGGCCCGCCCUGUGGCCCAGUGGUUAAGUCCACGUGCUCCCCUUCAGCGGCCCGGGGUUUCACAGGUUCGAAUCCUGGGUGCGGACACGGCACCGCUCAUCAAGCCAGGCUGAGGCGGCGUCCCACAUAGCACUAGAAGGACCCACAACUAAAAAGACACAACUAUGUACUGGGGAGAUUUGGGAGAAAAAGGAAAAAUAAAAUCUUAAGAAAAAAGAAAAGAAAUGAAUCCCUGAUGAAGUUGUGCACACCCCUGGACUAGGCAUGGACCGACCACUGAGUGGACAGAGAACUUCUAUGUACAUUUAUUUUUAAAUGCUUUUCUUUUUAAUUUCCAUUUUAGUACAGUUCAAUAAUAAAUCAUAUGUCAAUUCAGCAGAAGAGGUAUAUGUUAGAAAAGUGAAAAUAUAUAGAUAUUGGGCAGUUUCUACUCAACUCUUAGUUUGUAAAGAUGUGACGUCCUCCAAAGAAAUUUGGGAGUAUUCCACCUGGAAGAAGAAGAAAUGAAAGAAGUGAAAUAUCACCGUUUUGCAAAGCCCUAAUGAAAUACUGGAUCCAUCCAGAAAAUGGUGUUCAGUGGCUGCUACCAAGCCAAGAUGAAAGAAAAGUGAUAUUGAGAUCGAAGUACAUGCUGUCGUCUAGAAGUGGGCUUGCGAAGAGAAUCAACAUUGAGUCUCGUCAAACAUCUAGCUAGUUUAUAGGAAAUACAGGGGACAGAGAAACGUAACAAGUGACACUUAGGGGAUGCAAAUGGUAAGAGCAAGAGUGAUUCCAUUCUUUCAAUGAAAAUUUCUUUUCAAGGAAAAAAAAGUGGGAGGUGGAUCAUGCACAGUGUAGACACCUUGUCCCCAUCCUGACUGGGACAAACCAACUGUAAUAAAAUAAGAAGAAUGGAGUCAAUCAGGGAACACUGAGUACUAAGUGGAUAUUUCGUAAGGUUAGGCAAUCACUGAGUUGGGGGUGCGUGUGAUAAGAGUAUUAUAGUUGUGUUUUUCAAAAAAAUUCAUUCUUCUGUUUUGGAGAUGCACAUGAAAGUGUCUACAAAUGAAAUAAUAUAGUGCCUGGAUUUGCAUUCAAACAAUCCACUGGGGGUAUUCAUGAAACAAGAUUGCCCAUGAGUUGAUCAUUGUUGAAUCAAAGUGGUGGCUAUAUGGAAGUUCAUUCUACCAUUCUCUCCAAUUUUUAAUGUUGGAAAUGAUUCAUUAAAAAAAAAAAAAUUGGAGGCACCAGCCCCAGUGGCCUAGUGGUUAAGUUUGGUACACUCUGCUUUGGCAGCCCACAUUUGGUUCCCAGGCAUGGACCUACACAGCUCUGUUAGCAGUCAUGCUGUGCCGGCGGCCUACGUACCAAAAAAUAGAGAAGAUUGGCAUAGUUGUUAGUUGAGGGUGAAUCUUCCUCAGCAAAAAAAUAAGUAAGUAAAUAAAUAAAAAUUGGAGACCACUAGCAUAGACCAUGACAAUCAGCAGACACGUCACCCCUACUCUGGACCAAAUGCUGCCAGGAAGCAAAUAGGCCGAGGAGGAAUGAAGAAAUCUAAUAUUUAUUGGGCACCAGCUCUGUGCCAAGCAUUAGAAUGAAGUCUCUCUCCUGAGUCAUCUUCUGUCUCCUGUUGAAAAACUGUGGGAGGUUGAUAUAAUUAGCCCCAUUUUACAGAUAAGGAAACUGAGGCCCAGAGGGCCAGAGUGACUUGCCAAGUGAUGCCAAGACAAGAAGAGCCACUGAUGAACUAAGACAUGCAGACGUGAGGAUUUUUUCUUUGUGACCUUGGACUAUUACUUUUCCUCUCUGGGCCUCAGUUUCCCUCGCUGUAAGACCACAUUCAUGAUUCAUAAAGGUAAGUUGUACUCUUCGGUCUUCUUCUGCCACUCCUCCAUCGCCUUCCCUCUCCUUCCUUUCUUCUGUCUUCCCAGGAAUGUGUCAGAGGCAGCCUGGUGUGGAGGAAAGAGAAAUUGAGUCCACGGUUCAAAUUCUGGUUCUGCUUUAUGCUCUUUGAGCGACCUUGGGCAAGUCACUUAACCUCUCUGAGCCUCUCCUUCCCCAGCAACAAAAUAGGAAGAAAAUAAUAACUACCUUUUAGUACUGCUGGUACGAUUCAGACCAUGGACAGACGGCGCGCAGCUCAGAGUCCAGGAUAAAGCAGGUGUCGAGUAAGGAUGGCUCUCUCGUACCUGCUUCCUCUCUCCUGCUUCCUCUGGUCAUCCCUGUGGCUUAGCACCACCUCCCCCAAGUCUUGGCUGAAACGUCACCUUCUCAGUGGGGCCUUCUCUGACCACCCUUUAAAACUAAACCCCACCAUCCCCUUGUCCACAACUCCCUUUCCUGAUUUAUUUUUUCCAUAUCACUCAUCACCAUCAAAAACAGACCUUUUUCUUUUUUUGAGGAAGAUUAGCCCUGAGCUAACUACUGCCAAUCCUCCUCUUUUUGCUGAGGAAGGCUGGCCCUGAGCUAACAUCCAUGCCCAUCUUCCUCUACUUUAUACGUAGGACGCCUACCACAGCAUGGUGUGCCAAGCGGUGCCAUGUCCAUACCCGGGAUCCGAACCGGUGAACCCCAGGCCGCCGAGAAGUGGAACGUGCAAGCUUAACUACUGCACCACCGGGCCGGUCCCCUAGAUCUUACCCGCUUAUUUUGUUCUGCAUCCUUCCCUCCCCCACUAGAACGUCCUUGGGGACAAUCAUUUUUAUGUGUUUGGUUUGCUGCUCUAUCCUGAGCUGAGACAUAUAGAAAGCCCUGGGUACACAUUUGUUCAAUGAAUGAGCGAAUGAAUGAAUGAAUGAAUAUUAGACCUGGUACUGGUGCCUUUAGCUAAUGGAAAGAACAGGGCAUAGGUCGUGCACAGAGUAGCUAGUCCAUAAAUGCUUUGGUUCUCAUUUUUCUGGAACACCAGAAUCUGCCAAGGUCACCCUGUUCGACUCUAAGCGACUCCCCAUCUACCUGUGGGUGUUCUGACGGUUUCCAGCUUUCUUAUUUCUGGCUAUCCCUUAAGCCAACCUUCAAGUGCCUGGCCCAGUAGCUCCAAGUUCUUUAAGCUGUAUUUCACCGAGGGCAGUGAGUGAUAGUGUCCUGGGGCCAUUUGCAACCUCCCUUCCCUGAGCACAGGUGCUUGAGGAAAUGUUUUGAUGAAAGGCAGGGAAGGCACCAGCUCCCUGGCUUAAUCUUUAUGAAGGGAUUACCCAAUGCUAAGGAGGGACUUGUCCAUGGAUCCUUGGGGCAAAGAGCUGCAGAGAUGUGGUGCUGAUGGAGCCUUUAUCUAGAUGGGAAAACUGAGUUUUUAGAUGGGCCAGAGCUGCCCAGCAUGUCACCCCAGAGGUGGAGUACAGGUAUGUUGGGAUCAGGGUACUGAUAAACACUUUCAGGAGAAACUUCACCUCUCUGAGCUAAAACAGCCCCAAGCCAGUCCUCACUCCCUCCUGGGCCCGUUGAGAAAUAUUCCUCAAAAUGUUGUUGAUAAUGGCUUUCCUCUCUGCCCUGGCCCCCGGCGGUAUCGGGUAUGGGCAGAUUGCGACAGCAUUCGAAGCUGGGCCUGUUUCCCAUGAGAAUCUUCCUCCGUCCCACAGAGACGGAGAGCCCAACUCAUUCCCUUUACACUUCAGGGGUCCUUACCCUGGCACCCUCCAAGGGACUCUUACAGGGCUGGGCGAGUCCGUGGAUAGAAUUUAGGGACCCGUGAACUUGGAUGGGGGAAAAAACAAUCACACUUUCGUUUUCACUAAACUCACAGUGAAAUUAGUAUUUCCUCCCGUUUUGAAGAGAAGUGACAACCCACAGGAGGACUGGCAGUGGCUGUGGCUUGGUCACCAACAGAAUCACAGGCAUCUUCGUAUCUCAUUAUAGGCGUGACCGAGGUCCCCAAAUGUUUCGCUCAUCCUGACUUCAAAAGACUUGCAGCAUUAUCAGAGAGUGAACCUCCGGCUCAGAGAGGGGCAACAUUGCCUCAUGUUCAUCACUGAUCCUUUUACAAUUUCCUUCCACUGCUGGCAGGUGAGAUGAGAGUUUCCUUUACAGUACCUAAAAAUUUCAUUUUCAACAAAUUUGGUGUUUUGAAAAAGUGAGUUUAUCAUGAAAAUAUAUGUUAAGGAAAUAAUUGGGAAGGUGAUACCAAGAUACAUAAAACAUGAAUGUGCUCUCAGUGCCCUCCCCCCACCCUCCCCAGUUUUACCAGUAAGGGAGCUGAGGCCAGAUACCUGCCCAGCGCCUGCUCAUUUUAAGGCCAAGCGCUGGGCUUCUCCCUGUGGCUGCUCUGGCAGCUGGUGGCCUGCAAUCUGGCCCCUCUCAGCCUCCUAGACCUCUGUGGGGCCGCGGGGGAGAAAGUCAGGGACUCCAAGUUCCCAGCAUGGGUGUUAAACAUGCCUUCUGAGUGUCCUGGCUCCAGGGUCCCCCGUCCUGAAGGGCCCAGCUGAGUGGGGCUUUCAUCAGCCUCUGAGAGGUGGCAACACGUUUCAGGGCAGGAUGCCGUCUGCCCACUGCCCCCACUUCUGCAGACCAGGCCGAGUGCAGAGGACUGGAAGCAAGAUUCCAGAGGCAUCUGGAUAUUAUCAGUCACUCCACUGUCUGGCCAGUGGGCUGGGGCGGGGCCGGUGGCAGGGGGCAGAAACUGGCUGGAGGGUGGAGUCAGGAAUCCCACAGAUUCCUGGGACCAGACCCAGCUCCUGGGUGGGGGAGGAGGGGACAGUGAUGAUCUGGCUGCAAACCCUGCAUGCUGCCCGGCCCUCAUUAGGUGGCGGCACCAAAGGGAGCUGAAAGUCAAUGAUGAUAUUUGUCUGGCAGAGGAAACCCGGAGGGAGGGAUUGGUGACCAGAGGGGGCGAGGCAGCCACACUGCUCUGCUGGGCAGCACUUGAGGACAGCAACAGGGAAGCGGGGGUGGGGGGCACGGCUGGCCCUCUGGUCCACUCGAAGAUUCCUGCUUCAAAACUAACCCUGAUGGCUUCCAGACAAGUCGGCACCAGGGGUCAUUUCUGGAGGCUGUAAGUGCUGUCAAUGGCAGCUGUAGAGACAGGUGUAAAUCCAUCUGCGCAUUCCUCCCCAAGCCCCUCCCGGCUUUCUGCACCUGAAGCAGGUUCCAUUUAUUACUGCAAGCCGGCUCAGGACGCCUGAGCACACACACACGGCCACAGAACAUGCAUGCUCCGGGUUCACGCUGGGCCUGCCCUGUGGGUCCAUUUUUUUUUUUUAAGCGCUUCUUUAAAGCAAACUCUAUCAGCUGUUUGCUAAGGCAAAGCAAACACAAGCCUUUGCAACAACAAAAAAAGAAAGAAAAAAGGAAAAGAAAUCCUUUUAUUUGCUACCAUUAAAAUGUCCUUUUAAAAUACUUUUCUUGGCAGACUGGGAGAUAAGGGAGGAGGCCGAGGGGGAGGGAAGAUGAUGUGCGAUUUAUUUGAACUAGUCGAGUGAUGAGUUGGGGAGGGGGGAACUUCACCUGACCCAGGCUUCUCUCUAGAAUCAGACCCUCCUCAUUUCUCACCAGCCUCCUGUGGUUGAACACAGAUCUGCGUUCUCAGGAGUUC
ensembl:lncRNA